rnacentral:rRNA from 1 species
CACGUAGGGCGCAAGCGUUGUCCGGAAUUAUUGGGCGUAAAGAGCUCGUAGGCGGUCUGUUGCGUCCGCUGUGAAAACUCGGGGCUUAACCCCGAGCCUGCAGUGGAUACGGGCAGACUAGAGGUAGGUAGGGGAGAAUGGAAUUCCUGGUGUAGCGGUGGAAUGCGCAGAUAUCAGGAAGAACACCCGUGGCGAAGGCGGCUCUCUGGGACGGUACUGACGCUGAGACGCGAAAGCGUGGGGAGCGAACAGG